UGGGGCGUGGCCAAGUGGUAAGGCAACGGGCUUUGAACCCGUGGAUCGCAGGUUCGAAUCCUGCCGCCCCAGCCA
rnacentral:tRNA from 1 species